rnacentral:rRNA from 1 species
UACGUAGGGGGCAAGCGUUGUUCGGAAUUACUGGGCGUAAAGGGCUCGUAGGCGGCCAACUAAGUCAGACGUGAAAUCCCUCGGCUUAACCGGGGAACUGCGUCUGAUACUGGAUGGCUAGAGUGUGGGAGAGGGAUGCGGAAUUCCAGGUGUAGCGGUGAAAUGCGUAGAUAUCUGGAGGAACACCGGUGGCGAAGGCGGCAUCCUGGACCACGACUGACGGCUGAGUGAGCGAAAGCCAGGGGAGCAAACGGG